rnacentral:misc_RNA from 1 species
GAAAUGCGAUAAGUAGUGUGAAUUGCAGAAUUCAGUGAAUCAUCGAAUCUUUGAACGCACAUUGCGCCCCUUGGUAUUCCAUGGGGCAUGCCUGUUCGAGCGUCGUUUGUACCCUCAAGCUCUGCUUGGUGUUGGGUGUUUGUCCCCGUCUCCGCGCGUGGACUCGCCCCAAAGUGAUUGGCAGCCGGCGUACUGGUCCCGGAGCGCAGCACAUGUCGCGCAAACGAGUGCCUUGGUACGGCGGCGUCCAUAAGCCCCUCUCUCACGCUCUUGACCUCGGAUCAGGUAGGGAUACCCGCUGAACUUAAGC